rnacentral:rRNA from 1 species
GAUGAACGCUGGCGGCGUGCCUAAUACAUGCAAGUCGAGCGAACAGACGAGGAGCUUGCUCCUCUGACGUUAGCGGCGGACGGGUGAGUAACACGUGGAUAACCUACCUAUAAGACUGGGAUAACUUCGGGAAACCGGAGCUAAUACCGGAUAAUAUAUUGAACCGCAUGGUUCAAUAGUGAAAGACGGUUUUGCUGUCACUUAUAGAUGGAUCCGCGCCGCAUUAGCUAGUUGGUAAGGUAACGGCUUACCAAGGCAACGAUGCGUAGCCGACCUGAGAGGGUGAUCGGCCACACUGGAACUGAGACACGGUCCAGACUCCUACGGGAGGCAGCAGUAGGGAAUCUUCCGCAAUGGGCGAAAGCUUGACGGAGCAACGCCGCGUGAGUGAUGAAGGUCUUCGAAUCGUAAAACUCUGUUAUUAGGGAAGAACAAAUGUGUAAGUAACUAUGCACGUCUUGACGGUACCUAAUCAGAAAGCCACGGCUAACUACGUG